rnacentral:tRNA from 1 species
GCAGCGUUCGUUUAAUGGUAGGACCUUACCCUUCCAAGGUAAAGAUGCCCGUUCAAUUCGGGUACGCUGCUCCA